AGCCAUUGGCAUAGUGGUUUGAGCAUUGGACUACGACUCUGGAGAGCAGGGUUCGAAUCCCUGCUUGGCCA